GAGACAUUAGUAAGGAACAGAGAG
rnacentral:piRNA from 1 species